GGGGUUGUAGCUCAGUGGCAGAGCACUUACCUUGUAAGUGUGAGACCCUGGGUUCGAGCCCCAGCACCA
rnacentral:tRNA from 1 species